ACCCGACUGACUCAGCUGGUAGAACAUGAGACUCUUCAUCUUGAGGUCAUGAGUUCAAGCCCCAUGUUGGGUG
rnacentral:tRNA from 1 species